AUGAUCCCCUGCUUCAGAUUGCUGGUACGUGACGGACCCCGGCUUCGAACCAGGCGAGACGUAGACCCUGCAGAGGACGCGCUCCUCCCCCUUGUCGUCGACGGCGAACUGGUCCAGGCCGCAGAUGUGGUACUCCUCCAUCAACCAAUCCGACUCUUUGCUCGUGUCCUUGUACGCGUAGCGAAGGGUGUCGAGGAAGCCGAUCGUCUCGCCGGCGUCGUUCUGAACCGUCUUCUUGCCGUUCGAAGCCCAUCCGCCGGCGCCGGCGCCGGCCGCGCGCGAGAUCCUGUAGCCACGCCCGGCUUUCUGCCGCUUGCACGUGGUGAAGAAGAAGCGGUUAUGGGUUGUGGGAACCCGAGGGAACGCGGCGGCAAGGUCCUUGGGCUCCGAUGCGUAAACCCUUGCCUCGUGGAUGACGCCGGCUGUGUCCGGCAGCUGCUGGCGGAGGACCCAGCGCCGGAGGUAGAAGCCGAUGGCCUCCUCGGGCGUCGGGUUGAACUUGAUGCCGCAGCGGAGCGCAGCGUGGGCGACGGCUGUCCCCAUCGUUUCGUAGCAGAUCGUAAGAGCGUAAACAGGCAGGUUGCUGGCCCGACCUGCUACAUAUCUAUGCUGCGAUCGGCUGGCGAUGGCCGAGUAGAGUAG
rnacentral:rRNA from 1 species